UUUUUAGCCAAAAAAUAAUAUUUUGGUCUUUUUUUCUGGGGAAGUCCUUUUUUUUCUCUAGAUGAAUAGAUAGAACCAUAAAAGUUUUCACAUUAGAAGCUCCAAGAGCCCCCCGAUCCCGUUGCGCAAUUACCCUCUAUGCAUGCCUCGUCGAUGUAAUGCCUACAAAAGUAGGGAUCUACAUGCAAAAACCUCGCCGCAAUCCAAAACGCGUAAACCUCAUCCGGAAGGAAGCCGCAGAAGAAGAAGAAACUCAGCAAAGAAUUAUCAGCGGCGUCGUACAGGGGAGCGAGGGAUACGAGAGAAGGAAACAAUGACGACUCGGAGAGAGAACGUUGAACAGGUAUGAUCGACUCGUCGUCGUCACAUGACGUCACGGGACCCGCGGCGGGGGGAUCGGCGGCGGCGGCGGGCGGCGAGUUUCAGGUGGCCGGUGUCGUCGAGCCUCUCCUUCUCGGCGGGGACAAUUUCGCAGUCGGGGAAGGCGUCGGAGUAGCGGAACGAGUCGUAGCAGAAGGAGUAGAUCAGGUUCUUCUCCCUGAACCUCGCCAUGGCGCGGCGGCGCUGGGGAUCGACGGUGGCGAAGUCGCUGGCGAGAAGCUCCGCCUCCGCCGCGGCGCAGCGGCUGCCGGAGCUGGGCAGCAUCUGGAUGGGGUCGACCUUGCAGCCCGAGAGGACGAGGUCGGAGAAAUCGGCCGCGAAGGGGGCGGAGUUGUAGUCCACCUUGUACCUCCCACCGCCGGUGGCCCACGAGGAGCCGUCCCAUAUGGUGGCGUAGAGCGCCAUGGGCUUCGCCGGAAACUCCCCUCCCAUGGCGGCGCUCCGCCGCACCUCCCUGAUCGGCGUCUCAUCCACGUAGAACCUGCAACCACAGAACAGAAUAUGAGAUUAUCGCCAUUGGAGGAGGAGGAGGAAAGAGGAAGCAGAGGAAGAAGAAGCAGAAGAAGAAGAAGAAGAAGAGGAAGAGGACGAGGAAGGGAAGUUACAGGAUGGUGUCGGGGGACCAGAAGAUGGAGUAGCGGUGGGCUUCGCGGGUGGGGUCAAAUGGAAGGUUGUAGCGCUCCUCGCGGCCGCGGUGGGUGGAACCGUUGCCGUAGAUGUUCGUCUGCAGCCUCCAGCUGCCUCUGCGGGGGUUCCC
rnacentral:lncRNA from 1 species